rnacentral:rRNA from 1 species
GACGAACGCUGGCGGCGUGCUUAACACAUGCAAGUCGAACGGAAAGGCCCUGCUUUUGUGGGGUGCUCGAGUGGCGAACGGGUGAGUAACACGUGAGUAACCUGCCCUUGACUUUGGGAUAACUUCAGGAAACUGGGGCUAAUACCGGAUAGGAGCUCCUGCUGCAUGGUGGGGGUUGGAAAGUUUCGGCGGUUGGGGAUGGACUCGCGGCUUAUCAGCUUGUUGGUGGGGUAGUGGCUUACCAAGGCUUUGACGGGUAGCCGGCCUGAGAGGGUGACCGGCCACAUUGGGACUGAGAUACGGCCCAGACUCCUACGGGAGGCAGCAGUGGGGAAUAUUGCACAAUGGGCGGAAGCCUGAUGCAGCAACGCCGCGUGCGGGAUGACGGCCUUCGGGUUGUAAACCGCUUUCGCCUGUGACGAAGCGUGAGUGACGGUAAUGGGUAAAGAAGCACCGGCUAACUACGUGCCAGCAGCCGCGGUGAUACGUAGGGUGCGAGCGUUGUCCGGAUUUAUUGGGCGUAAAGGGCUCGUAGGUGGUUGAUCGCGUCGGAAGUGUAAUCUUGGGACUUAACCCUGAGCGUGCUUUCGAUACGGGUUGACUUGAGGAAAAGGUAGGGGAGAAUGGAAUUCCUGGUGGAGCGGUGGAAUGCGCAGAUAUCAGGAGGAACACCAGUGGCGAAGGCGGUUCUCUGGGCCUUUCCUGACGCUGAGGAGCGAAAGCGUGGGGAGCGAACAGGCUUAGAUACCCUGGUAGUCCACGCUGUAAACGGUGGGUACUAGGUGUGGGGUCCAUUCCACGGGUUCCGUGCCGUAGCUAACGCUUUAAGUACCCCGCCUGGGGAGUACGGCCGCAAGGCUAAAACUCAAAGGAAUUGACGGGGCCCCGCACAAGCGGCGGAGCAUGCGGAUUAAUUCGAUGCAACGCGUAGAACCUUACCUGGGUUUGACAUGGAUCGGGAGUGCUCAGAGAUGGAUGUGCCUCUUUUGGGGUCGGUUCACAGGUGGUGCAUGGCUGUCGUCAGCUCGUGUCGUGAGAUGUUGGGUUAAGUCCCGCAACGAGCGCAACCCUUGUUCACUGUUGCCAGCACGUUAUGGUGGGGACUCAGUGGAGACCGCCGGGGUCAACUCGGAGGAAGGUGGGGAUGACGUCAAGUCAUCAUGCCCCUUAUGUCCAGGGCUUCACGCAUGCUACAAUGGCUGGUACAGAGAGUGGCGAGCCUGUGAGGGUGAGCGAAUCUCGGAAAGCCGGUCUCAGUUCGGAUUGGGGUCUGCAACUCGACCUCAUGAAGUCGGAGUCGCUAGUAAUCGCAGAUCAGCAACGCUGCGGUGAAUACGUUCCCGGGGCU